rnacentral:rRNA from 1 species
UUAAGCGACUAAGCGUACACGGUGGAUGCCCUGGCAGUCAGAGGCGAUGAAGGACGUGCUAAUCUGCGAUAAGCGUCAGUAAGGUGAUAUGAACCGUUAUAACCGGCGAUUUCCGAAUGGGGAAACCCAGUGUGAUUCGACACACUAUCAUUAACUGAAUCCAUAGGUUAAUGAGGCGAACCGGGGGAACUGAAACAUCUAAGUACCCCGAGGAAAAGAAAUCAACCGAGAUUCCCCCAGUAGCGGCGAGCGAACGGGGAGGAGCCCAGAGCCUGAAUCAGUGUGUGUGUUAGUGGAAGCGUCUGGAAAGGCGCGCGAUACAGGGUGACAGCCCCGUACACAAAAAUGCACAUAUUGUGAGCUCGAUGAGUAGGGCGGGACACGUGGUAUCCUGUCUGAAUAUGGGGGGACCAUCCUCCAAGGCUAAAUACUCCUGACUGACCGAUAGUGAACCAGUACCGUGAGGGAAAGGCGAAAAGAACCCCGGCGAGGGGAGUGAAAAAGAACCUGAAACCGUGUACGUACAAGCAGUGGGAGCACGCUUAGGCGUGUGACUGCGUACCUUUUGUAUAAUGGGUCAGCGACUUAUAUUCUGUAGCAAGGUUAACCGAAUAGGGGAGCCGAAGGGAAACCGAGUCUUAACUGGGCGUUAAGUUGCAGGGUAUAGACCCGAAACCCGGUGAUCUAGCCAUGGGCAGGUUGAAGGUUGGGUAACACUAACUGGAGGACCGAACCGACUAAUGUUGAAAAAUUAGCGGAUGACUUGUGGCUGGGGGUGAAAGGCCAAUCAAACCGGGAGAUAGCUGGUUCUCCCCGAAAGCUAUUUAGGUAGCGCCUCGUGAAUUCAUCUCCGGGGGUAGAGCACUGUUUCGGCAAGGGGGUCAUCCCGACUUACCAACCCGAUGCAAACUGCGAAUACCGGAGAAUGUUAUCACGGGAGACACACGGCGGGUGCUAACGUCCGUCGUGAAGAGGGAAACAACCCAGACCGCCAGCUAAGGUCCCAAAGUCAUGGUUAAGUGGGAAACGAUGUGGGAAGGCCCAGACAGCCAGGAUGUUGGCUUAGAAGCAGCCAUCAUUUAAAGAAAGCGUAAUAGCUCACUGGUCGAGUCGGCCUGCGCGGAAGAUGUAACGGGGCUAAACCAUGCACCGAAGCUGCGGCAGCGACGCUUAUGCGUUGUUGGGUAGGGGAGCGUUCUGUAAGCCUGUGAAGGUGUGCUGUGAGGCAUGCUGGAGGUAUCAGAAGUGCGAAUGCUGACAUAAGUAACGAUAAAGCGGGUGAAAAGCCCGCUCGCCGGAAGACCAAGGGUUCCUGUCCAACGUUAAUCGGGGCAGGGUGAGUCGACCCCUAAGGCGAGGCCGAAAGGCGUAGUCGAUGGGAAACAGGUUAAUAUUCCUGUACUUGGUGUUACUGCGAAGGGGGGACGGAGAAGGCUAUGUUGGCCGGGCGACGGUUGUCCCGGUUUAAGCGUGUAGGCUGGUUUUCCAGGCAAAUCCGGAAAAUCAAGGCUGAGGCGUGAUGACGAGGCACUACGGUGCUGAAGCAACAAAUGCCCUGCUUCCAGGAAAAGCCUCUAAGCAUCAGGUAACAUCAAAUCGUACCCCAAACCGACACAGGUGGUCAGGUAGAGAAUACCAAGGCGCUUGAGAGAACUCGGGUGAAGGAACUAGGCAAAAUGGUGCCGUAACUUCGGGAGAAGGCACGCUGAUAUGUAGGUGAAGUCCCUUGCGGAUGGAGCUGAAAUCAGUCGAAGAUACCAGCUGGCUGCAACUGUUUAUUAAAAACACAGCACUGUGCAAACACGAAAGUGGACGUAUACGGUGUGACGCCUGCCCGGUGCCGGAAGGUUAAUUGAUGGGGUCAGCGCAAGCGAAGCUCUUGAUCGAAGCCCCGGUAAACGGCGGCCGUAACUAUAACGGUCCUAAGGUAGCGAAAUUCCUUGUCGGGUAAGUUCCGACCUGCACGAAUGGCGUAAUGAUGGCCAGGCUGUCUCCACCCGAGACUCAGUGAAAUUGAACUCGCUGUGAAGAUGCAGUGUACCCGCGGCAAGACGGAAAGACCCCGUGAACCUUUACUAUAGCUUGACACUGAACAUUGAGCCUUGAUGUGUAGGAUAGGUGGGAGGCUUGGAAGUGUGGACGCCAGUCUGCAUGGAGCCGACCUUGAAAUACCACCCUUUAAUGUUUGAUGUUCUAACGUUGACCCGUAAUCCGGGUUGCGGACAGUGUCUGGUGGGUAGUUUGACUGGGGCGGUCUCCUCCUAAAGAGUAACGGAGGAGCACGAAGGUUGGCUAAUCCUGGUCGGACAUCAGGAGGUUAGUGCAAUGGCAUAAGCCAGCUUGACUGCGAGCGUGACGGCGCGAGCAGGUGCGAAAGCAGGUCAUAGUGAUCCGGUGGUUCUGAAUGGAAGGGCCAUCGCUCAACGGAUAAAAGGUACUCCGGGGAUAACAGGCUGAUACCGCCCAAGAGUUCAUAUCGACGGCGGUGUUUGGCACCUCGAUGUCGGCUCAUCACAUCCUGGGGCUGAAGUAGGUCCCAAGGGUAUGGCUGUUCGCCAUUUAAAGUGGUACGCGAGCUGGGUUUAGAACGUCGUGAGACAGUUCGGUCCCUAUCUGCCGUGGGCGCUGGAGAACUGAGGGGGGCUGCUCCUAGUACGAGAGGACCGGAGUGGACGCAUCACUGGUGUUCGGGUUGUCAUGCCAAUGGCACUGCCCGGUAGCUAAAUGCGGAAGAGAUAAGUGCUGAAAGCAUCUAAGCACGAAACUUGCCCCGAGAUGAGUUCUCCCUGACUCCUUUAAGAGUCCUGAAGGAACGUUGAAGACGACGACGUUGAUAGGCCGGGUGUGUAAGCGCAGCGAUGCGUUGAGCUAACCGGUACUAAUGAACCGUGAGGCUUAACCUU